GCCACGCUUUCACUCGCGGGAAUUUCUACAAACGCUGGAAACUCCCCCUUCACACGGAGGGAUUCUAUAUGACGUCAUGACGCGAGAAGGCAGAACGCACACGUCCAAUGAAACCGCUUGUAAUAAAUUCCCACGCAAGCGAGACCACAAUCCCUCCUGAAAAGCCUGGACAUCCGUAGUGAAACAUGUCUGGAAUCGGCUUUCUGAAGAUCUACUUCAUCGGAACCGCGGUUUCUUUUCUGGUGGCUCUGUUUGGACUGGUUGAUUCAGUCGGGGGUCUGAUGUAUCCUCAAGCCCCAGACUGGGCAGACGACAGCUGGACAGGGAAGCAUCCGACCGUGUCUCCAUCACAGACUGCUGCUGCCAGCAACACCAAGCGAAACGGAUCGACAUGAUCUUCUCCACUACCGUGGCUCGAGAGUCUAGCCUCGGGAAUAAUAGCCUCGGUUUACUGACCUACUAAAGCCUACUGUGGAACUACAAUCUUCUACAAUUUUCACUACUGCGGUCUGUGUCGUGUGAAAUAUGAGACAUGAACACAAUGGCUAGUGAGGUGCCAACUCUUCAGACUCGUUACGUUUUUUGCUUUGUUAUUCUGGUUUCUGCAAAGACUUUAUACGAAAAAGGGAAAAAAUUCUUCCACAGAGAUUGAAAGCAUAAAAAUACUACAAAUAUGCAACAUGAAUUUGCUGGACUGCCAUGAAAUAUUGAAAUCCCUCUGUGGUCGAUUGGUUUUGUAAUUGGUUUUAAUUAGUUUUUGUAAUGUUUGUUCCUUUUUUAUAUGCCGUUUAUAUGAAGAUAAAUGUAACACUCAGAAUGUAAACAUCUGUGUAACAUGCUGUUUACCAUGAGAAACUGUGACAUUAGGCAGCACAAAGUGCACUCCCAAUAUGGGUAAAGGGUGUCUAAAAGAUAUCAGCUAGAUAUCUUUCAACUAGAUAAGUUGGGUUAUGUAACUUAAAUUCACUGUUUUGUAUUGAACUGAAUAAAAUGUAUACAGUUGCACUGUA